rnacentral:rRNA from 2 species
CGUACCUUUUGUAUAAUGGGUCAGCGACUUAUAUUCUGUAGCAAGGUUAACCGAAUAGGGGAGCCGGAGGGAAACCGAGUCUUAAUUGGGCGUUAAGUUGCAGGGUAUAGACCCGAAACCCGGUGAUCUAGCCAUGGGCAGGUUGAAGGUUGGGUAACACUAACUGGAGGACCGAACCGACUAAUGUUGAAAAAUUAGCGGAUGACCUGUGGCUGGGGGUGAAAGGCCAAUCAAACCGGGAGAUAGCUGGUUCUCCCCGAAAGCUAUUUAGGUAGCGCCUCGUGAAUUCAUCUCCGGGGGUAGAGCACUGUUUCGGCUAGGGGGCCAUCCCGGCUUACCAACCCGAUGCAAACUGCGAAUACCGGAGAAUGUUAUCACGGGAGACACACGGCGGGUGCUAACGUCCGUCGUGAAGAGGGAAACAACCCAGACCGCCAGCUAAGGUCCCAAAGUCAUGGUUAAGUGGGAAACGAUGUGGGAAGGCCCAGACAGCCAGGAUGUUGGCUUAGAAGCAGCCAUCAUUUAAAGAAAGCGUAAUAGCUCACUGGUCGAGUCGGCCUGCGCGGAAGAUGUAACGGGGCUAAACCAU